AAUCCAUAGGUUAAUGAGGCGAACCGGGGGAACUGAAACAUCUAAGUACCCCGAGGAAAAGAAAUCAACCGAGAUUCCCCCAGUAGCGGCGAGCGAACGGGGAGGAGCCCAGAGCCUGAAUCAGCAUGUGUGUUAGUGGAAGCGUCUGGAAAGGCGCGCGAUACAGGGUGACAGCCCCGUACACAAAAGCGCAUGUGCUGUGAGCUCGAUGAGUAGGGCGGGACACGUGGUAUCCUGUCUGAAUAUGGGGGGACCAUCCUCCAAGGCUAAAUACUCCUGACUGACCGAUAGUGAACCAGUACCGUGAGGGAAAGGCGAAAAGAACCCCGGCGAGGGGAGUGAAAAAGAACCUGAAACCGUGUACGUACAAGCAGUGGGAGCACCCUUUGGGUGUGACUGCGUACCUUUUGUAUAAUGGGUCAGCGACUUAUAUUCUGUAGCAAGGUUAACCGAAUAGGGGAGCCGGAGGGAAACCGAGUCUUAACCGGGCGUUAAGUUGCAGGGUAUAGACCCGAAACCCGGUGAUCUAGCCAUGGGCAGGUUGAAGGUUGGGUAACACUAACUGGAGGACCGAACCGACUAAUGUUGAAAAAUUAGCGGAUGACCUGUGGCUGGGGGUGAAAGGCCAAUCAAACCGGGAGAUAGCUGGUUCUCCCCGAAAGCUAUUUAGGUAGCGCCUCGUGAAUUCAUCUCCGGGGGUAGAGCACUGUUUCGGCUAGGGGGCCAUCCCGGCUUACCAACCCGAUGCAAACUGCGAAUACCGGAGAAUGUUAUCACGGGAGACACACGGCGGGUGCUAACGUCCGUCGUGAAGAGGGAAACAACCCAGACCGCCAGCUAAGGUCCCAAAGUCAUGGUUAAGUGGGAAACGAUGUGGGAAGGCCCAGACAGCCAGGAUGUUGGCUUAGAAGCAGCCAUCAUUUAAAGAAAGCGUAAUAGCUCACUGGUCGAGUCGGCCUGCGCGGAAGAUGUAACGGGGCUAAACCAUGCACCGAAGCUGCGGCAGCGACACUGUGUGUUGUUGGGUAGGGGAGCGUUCUGUAAGCCUGUGAAGGUGUGUCGUGAGGCAUGCUGGAGGUAUCAGAAGUGCGAAUGCUGACAU
rnacentral:rRNA from 1 species